AACGAACGCUGGCGGCAGGCCUAAUACAUGCAAGUCGAGCGCUCUAGCAAUAGAGAGCGGCGCACGGGUGCGUAACGCGUGGGAAUGUACCUCUAGGUGCGGAGCAACGUCGGGAAACUGACGCUAAUACCGCAUAAUAUCUCCGGAUCAAAGAUUUAUCGCCUAGGGAUCAGCCCGCGUUGGAUUAGCUAGUUGGUGAGGUAAUGGCUCACCAAGGCGACGAUCCAUAGCUGGUCUGAGAGGAUGAUCAGCCACACUGGGACUGAGACACGGCCCAGACUCCUACGGGAGGCAGCAGUAAGGAAUAUUGGACAAUGGAGGAAACUACUGAUCCAGCCAUGCCGCGUGAGUGAAGAAGGCCUCG
rnacentral:rRNA from 1 species